rnacentral:lncRNA from 1 species
GCUUACCAGAAAAACUGUUCCAUUCCAACUGGGCAAAUCCCCCCAGGGAGGGAUGCUGGUACGUGGCUGUGUGCGUAAAAUCACCCUCCUGGUCGAGACAGUCGAGGUGCCCGCACCCCUCCUGGAGCCUGGGGUCGUGCCCCUCUGUAAAACGUGCUCAAGUCUUUCCCAGCUUCACAGCGCCUCCCUGGCCCUUCCCUCCCUUCUUCCACCUCAGCGUCUCCCCACCCUGCCCUGGGUUCCUGCUCUCUGGGAACUCGGUCAGAGGUGACCUUGGUUCUUGCUGAGGUCCUCUCAGCCAUAGCGGUGAGUGGUCCUGCAUCCCGUCCCCCUUCGUCCUGCCUGGGGUGGCCGGUUUAUCCCAACUUCCCACCACUCCUGCAGUGGCUGAGGCUUUCUCCUGCCUGAUCACUUUGGGCUCUGACCUUUGGUCCAGGACACCGAGGCCUAGGACUGGCCACAGACACUGCAGAACCACCCUGCGCUCAGCUGCCCCAAUGCCAAGCACAGGCCCCUCAUCUGUGCUUGGCUGCUGGACUUGCACCUGCGCACCACAGCUACUUUCCCAGUCCAAGUGAGGAUCCUCUCAGACCCAAGUCCAAGUGAGGACCCUCUCAGUCCCAAGUCCCAGUGAGGACCCUCUAAGACCCAAGUCAAGAGAUUCUGAGGUGGAAUCUAAGUUGGAGUGAAGUAAUUUUAAGAAGUAUGAAUAUAAUGCUUCUUCUGUUUGAAGAUCAGUUGCUUCUGCCCUUCCUUAAUUUAGAUUAUGUGAGAAACUCCCCUGGAAUACAAAUGUCUUCAAUCUCGCUUACAACACAGAUUUCCUUCAGAACUGGAAAUUCCCACUGGGCCCCAUUCUCUCUCCUCCUAACCCUCAGCCCCCUUUCUGUGUGGAGGCCCCGGUGCUCUAAAGGAGGCUCUAUGUGAUGAAGAUGAAGGGACUGUGGAAAUGAUCACAGCAGGCAUGUGAGUUUUAAACACGGCUGUCACCUGGCUGGCGGGUGCGCUGACAGUUGGCAGGGAACGUGGCUAUGAUAGUUCUGCCUGCGGGACGAGGCCGAGGGGGGAGAUGGAUCCUCCCUUAUAUGCAGGCAUUAAACCCCAAGUACGAUUCUGUAAUUUGAGCCAGGGUUUCCAGCUGGAAUGUGAACAGCACACAAACUGAACAGGUGACCCUUUGCUCAGUGCCCAGAAUUAUGCUAUGAAUUUCUUGGAAAGAAUAAGGAUUGCUAUUCAAAAGUAGAAUACGUUUUGAAAUAUUAAAAUUGAAAGUCAGCUCCUCGGAGCUCUAACACAAAGUGAGGGCAUCUGUGCCAUCCUUGUGUUCGCCAGUGUAUCUUCUCCUGUGAGCGGGCAACUGUUGGUGUGGUGAGUGAGCUUCCUAUUUUUAGCUCGCAUAUUUCAGAGGCACCUACAUUCAAUGCAAAAUUUUAAACACAAAGAGGAGGUGCGGUGACAGUGUUCUCAGCCCAACUGUGUGGAAUCAUCUAGAACCUUGCUCUCCGUCCACCCCUUUCACCUCUGUCCGGCUGGGUCAUCUCUGGAGUUAGCAUGGUUCCUUUAUAGCACGUUUU